UCUCAGAUCUCACUCUGCAGGACACAGACAGGGCUGCUUCCCUGCCCUGCAGUGACACACGGAGGGCAGGAUGUGGAAGCUGAUGCACAGCAUCCUACCAGUACAUUCUGUCUUUUGCUUAGCAGCCAAACGUGGGACUUCCUUUUGAUGCCGUGUUGCCUUUCACUUACAUCGGACUGUGAGCAGUUGUCUCAUAGGGAACAAAAGAGUGAAAUGGAAUAAGGAAUAAACAAGGAGCAAGACAAAGCUGUCACUGCAUUUGUUAAGAGCUGAAAGAAGAAGAGGCAAAAACCUCCUGCAGCAGAGACUCGAUAAUCACCUUCCCAAAUGGGACUGUUAUUGUAAUUGCCAAGCUCUUUGUAUAGCAGCAUAUAGCGACAGUCAUUGCAGCGCUGGAAUUGCCCGUGAAGAACAUGCAGUGUAGAAAAGAAAUAAGGAUCUUUCCAUCAGUGAAAAUCUUCAUUAUCGGGAGAGGCUGGAGAAACUGAGAUCAUCUUCAAAGAGAAAGGAGAAUGCUAUAGAGGCAUUUCUACAUAUUUUCAGGUCAGCGGAAGGGAAUGGUGUUUAUACAUUUUUCUUAGCCUGAAAGAAUUUUAAACAACUAGGAGAGAAUAAGAUGAAAUAGGGAGUUCAAAUGGAAAUCUGCAAGGAUAUCAGUCUUUCCCAGUGUACCAGCAAGACAUUGACGCAAUGUCAUCUGGAGCCAGUCUGUUCUAACUGAGGCUUUUGAAACAUAAUGAACUUUGCCAUUUCAAAUUAGUACUGACAAACAAAAUAGCUGACUUAUCUCUACUCAGAAAUUACUCUAAGGAAAGAAAAUGCAGGCAAUUUAGUAGGAGACUUGGUGCUUACAGAAAGUAUUUGAGAUGACGAAUUUGUUAUUGAGACAUUAUUCUGUUUUCUGAGUUGGAGUCACAAGUGAAAGGGGAAAUACUUCAGCCCAAAGUAAGGGCUGCUCCAGUUUGGGAACCUUUGUGUCACAGAGACGGGCAUGGUUUGAUCUGGGAAUUUCAAAAGAUACAGCAGAAGAGCAGUACUUGGUAUCCUCCCUGCUUCAGAGACAUCAGUUCAUAUGUAUCCUUCAACUGUUUUCAAACCCAGGCAGACAGCAUUCUGACCACAUGGAGGGAUGGAAAAGUGUUCAGGAACAACCUCUUAUCCCUUCCAGUCCCUGGAGAAGUUACAGAAAAAGCCACAUCUCACUGCAAAGGAGCUAAAUCUCUUAACGGAAAAGCCUUCUGUAUAAUGAGUACCUUCAAAACAAAUGUAAAUUCUCACACACUGCUAAUGUCAAAUGAGAAAUUCCUGUGCAGGGCUGAGCCCCAGGUGAGUAACCAACCUUAUUAGCUUGAAGCAUCAGCUGCUGGCAUUUGAAAGGUAUCCAUUGUGGCUGGCCCAUUAUUAAUGACUGUAAACACUUGAACUUCAAACUGAUAAAUGUUAAAAGUUUAAGUGCAUAGAUUGUUGCUAAUGCAUUGAAACGGAAAACUGUGUUCUUUAAAG